UACGGGGGGCGAAGCGUUGUUCGGAAUUACUGGGCGUAAAGGGCUCGUAGGCGGCCAACUAAGUCAGACGUGAAAUCCCCAGGCUCAACCUGGGAACUGCGUCUGAUACUGGAUGGCUUGAAUCCGGGAGAGGGAUGCAGAAUUCCAGGUGUAGCGGUGAAAUGCGUAGAUAUCUGGAGGAAUACCGGUGGCGAAGGCGGCAUCCUGGACCGGCAUUGACGCUGAGGAGCGAAAGCCAGGGGAGCCAAAGCGGG
rnacentral:rRNA from 1 species